AGUAAUCGCGUGUCAACAUCACGCGGUGAAUAUGCCCCUGCUCCUUGCACACACCGCCCGUCAAGCCACCCGAGUUGAGCCUGAGUGAUGGUGCCGUUCUUGCGACGCUAGAACUUAGGUUCAGCAAGGAGGGCUAAGUCGUAACAAGGUAUCUGUAGGGGAACCUGCAGAUGGAUCACCUCCU
rnacentral:ncRNA from 1 species